ensembl:lncRNA
AUCAUUUCAAUACACUCUCAGACAAAAGCUGUCACUGAGGCAGUACCUUUUCAAAACUUUAGGUACAAAGGUGUGCCUUUUGAAAAGGUACCGCCCCAGUGACAGCUUUUGUACCUUUUUUUUCUGAGAGUGUAGGAAUAUGUGCUAUAACUUCACUAAACACGUGGUCAGAUUUACCAUUGUUCUGCAAAAUUUCUUAUAUGUAUGAUCAGGAAUUUGGGGUAAGGGUGAAACAUUUCCCUAAGCAGACUGACAGACUAACAUUUUGUAUGGAAUGUGUAAACAGACAAAAUGUCAGUCUAUCAAUUUUGAGGCUCAGAGCUAAAUGUUGCAUAAUCCUAAUGUACACGAUAAUAGCUGGAAUUGUUUUGUUCUUCCUAGGUUUUUAUUGUUUGGAGGGCAUCUCUCGGAGGCCAAGCUCUCAGUUUCUGUGCCCACAAGGGUAUUACUGUGAGGAAGGCACGGGUGUGCCGCACGGGUCACCUUGCCCUGCUGGAACUGCAGGAGGACAACUGGGUCAGACAAGUAGGGCAGCUUGCAAGAGGUGUGCAGAGGGUCGCUUCUGUCCCGCAGGUUCUGCUGGUCCUGGGUUGCUUUGUGCCCAUGGGAGGUACUGUCCAGCAGGCACACUCAGUGAAAUCUUAUGCCCACAAGGGACCUUCACCCCACAUCAGGGGGCACUGAGUAAGAUUUCAUUCCUAAAACCAUCAUGGUCAUUAAAGGACAAUCAUAUAAAUCUACCAUUGUGUUGAUAUUUGUGUCUAUUUUCAUCGUAGGUGUAAAGGACUGUUUAAAGUGUCCACCAGGCUUCUAUUGUGCAGAAGGAACCAGUGACCCAAUGCCUUGUCAACCAGGCACCUUUAACCCUGGAGCUGGCAGACUGCAGGCCUUGUGACCCGGGCAAAGCAUGCACACAAGUUGCACUAAAGUUUCCUGAUGUGGAUUUUAUGCCUUUUGCACAUGAGAAGUUUUUUUUUAAACCAUCAGACUGGUCCAUUUAGUUGGUUUUAGAAGUUUGGGCAUUUGACAAUCUAGCUGAAGUCACAAUACAUCCAUUUUCUAACCAAUAAUUGUAUUUUUUUGUUUGUUUUUUUCAGGUUUGUGUGUCCACCAGGUUCUGCCCGACCAAAUGACCCAUCCAACGCUUGCCCUCCCGGUACCUUUAGUAACCGUACAGACCUCACUGACCUCUCCCAGUGCCAGCAGUGUCCCACACAUUAUGCCUGUCUUCGAGGUGUCAUACUACCUUCAGAGUUGAAUGCCAUGUACUUACUUGUAUUCAAUUACUAUUUAACAAUUUCUGCUUUUACAGGCACUGGUGGCAUCCAGAGGCCUCCACUUCUUUGCUUUCCUGGGCAUUACUGUCCUGUGGGCACUAUGUUUCCCACUCAGCACAAGUGUCCAGCUGGUACCUGGAGCGAUCGCAGUGGACAGGAGUCAGAGCGUGAGUGCCAGCCGUGCCCGAGAGGCUGGUACUGUUUAGCAGGAGUGGGCGCUCCCUCUGGGAGAUACAACUCUGGACACUACUGUCCUGAAGGUACUAAAGCUGUGUGAAACAUUUGAAUGCUUUAUCCGCCUUGAAGAAAAACAGGCAUUUGAAAUCUGGCCUAACAUCAGUUUAGUGCCAUAUUGAUAUACUUUAUGAUGGACACAUUGCAAAGUCAUGCAAAUAAUCAUUAUUGAUGUACAGAGUCA